GACGAACGCUGGCGGCGUGCUUAACACAUGCAAGUCGAGCGGUAAGGCCCUUCGGGGUACACGAGUGGCGAACGGGUGAGUAACACGUGGGUGAUCUGCCCUGCACUUCGGGAUAAGCCUGGGAAACUGGGUCUAAUACCGGAUAGGACCACUGCCUGCAUGGGUGGUGGUGGAAAGCUUUUGCGGUGUGGGAUGGGCCCGCGGCCUAUCAGCUUGUUGGUGGGGUGAUGGCCUACCAAGGCGACGACGGGUAACCGGCCUGAGAGGGUGACCGGCCACACUGGGUCUGAGAUACGGCCCAGAAUCCUACGGGAGGCAGCAGUGGGGAAUAUUGCACAAUGGGCGCAAGCCUGAUGCAGCGACGCCGCGUGAGGGAUGACGGCCUUCGGGUUGUAAACCUCUUUCAGCACCGACGAAGCGCAAGUGACGGUAGGUGCAGAAGAAGGACCGGCCAACUACGUGCCAGCAGCCGCAGUAA
rnacentral:rRNA from 1 species